CAGAAGGUGAUGUGUGAGCCAGACGCUCCUUCUGGGAGACAGGCAGCAGUGAACAGGGCUGCAGGGCUGCUGCCAGGACCGUGUCACCAGCGCUGCUUUUGAUCACCGUGCUGCAGUCAUGUUGUCCAAGGUUCCUGGAAGACCCAGAAGCCAGAAGAAGGGAAGGUGCGGGGGUAUAGCUCAGGGGUAGAGCAUCGGACUGCAGAAGAAGGGAAGCUGGAGACGCAAGCAUCCAUGGAUAAAGCUGGAGACGCAAGCAUCCGUGGAUAAAGCUGGAGACGCAAGCAUCCGUGGAUAAAGCUGGAGACGCAAGCAUCCGUGGAUAAAGCUGGAGACGCAAGCAUCCGUGGAUAAAGCUGGAGACGCAAGCAUCCGUGGAUAAAGCUGGAGACGCAAGCAUCCGUGGAUAAAGCUGGAGACGCAAGCAUCCGUGGAUAAAGCUGGAGACGCAAGCAUCCGUGGAUAAAGCUGGAGACGCAAGCAUCCGUGGAUAAAGCACACCACUGCCUCUUCAGGGAGGGGUUGAGAGGCUCGUGGUCUGGAGGGGGUCCCAGCUGCAGACAUGUGAGAGUCCUCAAAGACCUGCCCUGGGCUAAGAGCAUUGUCUCAACAUCUGGCUCCGGUCUGCUCCGCUUCCAGCUGUGUGGACUUGAGUAAGCCUGGCCUGGCUGAGCCUCAGUUUUCUCAUCUGUCAUGUAGGAUGACAGUAUGUGUGCCUCCUCCCAGGGCUGUGGAGGGGCAUACGGUAAACAAGAUCAUGUGCAUAUCUCUCAGGCCAGGCACAGGGCAUCACACUGAAGGAAUGACAGGAGGCCAGGCGCAAUGGCUCAUGCCUGUAAUCCCAGCACUUUAGGAGGCCAAGGCAGGUGGAUCACC
rnacentral:lncRNA from 1 species